rnacentral:sRNA from 1 species
GGUUGUGAGGGCUAUCUAGCUGAGAUAUCUGUCACCCCAUUGAUUGCCAGGGAUGAUUCAGUCAAUGUGGCUGGAUAGGCUGGUGUCUCCUUCUUCCCUCACUGCGCCAUGUGCGUCCUUCCCAAAGCUGCACACUCAGUCGAAGAGGGAAAUCUUCCCUGAUAGAGAAGAGGACCACUCUUUGGUCAAAGGUAUAUGAGUAGCCGCUCCUCCCAUAGUAGAACCUCCAAAANNNNNNNN